rnacentral:tRNA from 1 species
AGGGAUGUAGUUAAAUAUAACAUUUGAUUUGCAUUCAAAAAGUAUUGGUUCCAAUCUUCCUUA